rnacentral:rRNA from 1 species
GACGAACGCUGGCGGCGUGCUUAACACAUGCAAGUCGAACGAUGACGCCCGAGCUUGCUCGGUCUGAUUAGUGGCGAACGGGUGAGUAACACGUGAGUAACCUGCCCUUCACUCUGGGAUAACUUCGGGAAACCGGGGCUAAUACCGGAUAUGAGCUCCUGCUGCAUGGCGGGGGUUGGAAAGUUUUUCGGUGUGGGAUGGGCUCGCGGCCUUUUCGUUUGUUGGUGAGGUAGUGGCUUACCAAGGCGAUGACGGGUAGCCGGCCUGAGAGGGCGACCGGCCACAUUGGGACUGAGACACGGCCCAGACUCCUACGGGAGGCAGCAGUGGGGAAUAUUGCACAAUGGGCGAAAGCCUGAUGCAGCGACGCCGCGUGAGGGAUGACGGCCUUCGGGUUGUAAACCUCUUUCGGCAGGGAAGAAGCGAAAGUGACGGUAACUGCUAAAGAAGCGCCGGCUAACUACGUG